GUAAAUUAGUAAAGCUACGCCAAUUUGCACCAGCUGGGGUUUAGUUGCUUUGUGGGAGCCCAAACUGGUACUGGAGGAACCUACAGUCACACUGGGUAUUUCUCUAAUUCAAGCACCUUCCAAACUCUGGAGUUUUAUUUCAAUCAAGAUUGAAGCCAUAGUGUGUAAAAUGCUUUGGAUAGAAGGAUGCAGAUGCAAUCAUAAUCACAGACAUGGACUGACACCAGAGCAACUGCACAGAGCAGGCAAGAUGGGGAAGGGAGGAAGAAGCUCCUGAAGAUGUCUAUGCUGAAAAUAUCCUAAUGCCCCUCUGAUUCAGAGAUGCUUUUUUGUUGUUCCCUCUUACACUGAUCUGAGCCAGAGGUGGAGAACCAGAGCCAUUAGCAUUUUUAAUGCCAUCAACAACAGCAAAGGGAAAAACAAAACACUGAAGCUGCCAAAAUGGUUAACACUCAGCGCCAGUGUGGUGGUGGUUUUGUGAUGUGAACAGCUCACCUCUAGGACAAAGGACUGAGACCACCAACUCAUUUUACAAUGAGCACCAAAUAGAGGAAGAAUUCUGCAAGAUGUGAAGUAUCCUUAGCUCCCUGUAGUGAGGCAGAGUGGCCUCCCACUGAUCCAGAGCGGGAGAGGGGCCACUCUCUGAGCCCAGAUGACAGUUGUCCAAAGCACAAACAAGUAAACUGAUCUCAGCAAAAGAAGAAUAUUCUUCAGAGUUUUCAAAAGCAUGCAAGAUUGGACUGAGGGAGUUGAUUUACAUGAUUCCUUAAUAUUCUACACACUACCUGCAGUGCAUAAUGACAGUACUUCUGCAAGCAGCCGUGUUCUUUUGUGUGCCAGAAAACAGUUUUCUGUGAUCACAAUAAAUAAGAUGAAACAAAGGGGGUGGGGCAGGGAGAGAGGGAGGAUAUUAUCUCAAAGAAGGCCAGUGUAUAGAAGGAAGGUGAAUGGGGGAAAAUGAGGAGAGAGAUAUUAAAAGAUGUUAGAGAAAUAAAGUGUGGGGGGGAAAUAGAGAAGCAAAGCAUUCUAAGAUGAUAAAACUGAAAGAAUGAGUCAUGACAGUACAGCAGCUAAAGAGGUAGAGUAUUCUACUUGUGUGGACCUUAACUCUUACAGUGUUCUCUGAAGGACUACAUAUCAGCCUCUCUUUAUGAUAAGUCCAUUGUGAAAAAAUAUUAUGGUUUGAUUUGUUAGCUUUUGUUGAUUUUAAUCGCUGUUUCUGCAGAUAUAUAUUAUAAUGCAUAGCUUUUCAAAAGGAAAAUUAUAAUAUACAUAGGUUAUUUGGAUGCAUGUACAUAUGUAGAAUGAAGAUAGGGAGAAAAAAAAUCAGAAGUUAGGUAGACUUUUUAAUUCUACAAGUCUGGACAAACUUCAACAGCUUUGGGGACACAUUGCAGUAAUGCUGCCUCAGACUUCUAUUCCCUAUCCCAUCCCCGAUCCAGAACACAGCUUGCAGGGAGAUGAGUCAGGACAGGGAGAUUGUUCAAGGGAGGGAAUCGGUGAGGGAGGAAGAGGAGGGCAUUCUGCAGUGCUGGCCUGGAUCUGCAGGAAUGGACUGCUGUUUCUCUCCACAGACUGCCCCUUCUAUUGUCUUGAAUGUAGACUGAUGAUUUUCAACAAUCGGAACAUUUCAGUUCUCGUACUGGUGCUUCUGUACCGGCUCUAACAAGGGAGGGAGUACUAGAUCAGACCCACUCUUACAGUUACAAUGACAGGGAAGUAAAAACACAGAUUGCCAUAGGAGACUUACUUAUGCUAGCUAUUACCAUCUGUGGAGCCAAGCUGGAGCUACAGCAAGAAUGGGAGAAUGUCAGAAAAUCUUCAGUGUAAGAGCAGCACCUACCUGCCACUUACAGCCAGAGAGUUCAGUUUCAUGGAAGUGUAUUUUUACUCUCCUGCAGUUUACCUGGACUCAGGGAUGAUAACAUAUGUCUCCUUAUUUGCCCAUUACCUGUAGAAGCACAAUGAAAUAAGCAACUCUUUUUGGUAGACAUGCAAACAGUGCUGCUGUUUUUGUGUGUGGGUUUUUUGGCUCACAUU